rnacentral:rRNA from 1 species
ACGAUUAAAGCUCCCUUCGGGGAGUGCAUAAAGUGGCGCACGGGUGAGUAACACGUAAGUAAUCUACCUUCGAGUGGGGAAUAACAACCGGAAACGGUUGCUAAUACCGCAUAAUGCAGCGGCAUCGCAAGAUGACAGUUGUUAAAGAUUUAUCGCUUGAAGAGGAGCUUGCGGCAGAUUAGCUAGCUGGUAAGGUAACGGCUUACCAAGGCGACGAUCUGUAUCCGGUCUAAGAGGACGGUCGGACACACUGACACUGAAUAACGGGUCAGACUCCUACGGGAGGCAGCAGUCGGGAAUUUUGGGCAAUGGGCGCAAGCCUGACCCAGCAACGCCGCGUGAAGGAUGAAGUUUUUCGGAAUGUAAACUUCGUAAGAAUAGGAAGAAUAAAUGACGGUACUAUUUGUAAGGUCCGGCUAACUACGUGCCAGCAGCCGCGGUAAUACGUAGGGACCAAGCGUUG